rnacentral:tRNA from 1 species
GCGGGUAUGGUUUAGUGGUAAACUUAGCCUUCCAAGCUACUGAUGCGGGUUCGAUUCCCGCUACCCGCU